UAAAUAUUAAGUUGACUUAAAUUAACUUAUAACUUAUUCAUCCAUUUUCUCUCUUAUAGUACAAAAUUUAUACAUAAUUUAUACAUGUACAUAAAUCAAAUUAAAAAAUUCAUAAUAAACUAAUAGUAAAAUAUUGAAAAAAUAAAAUAAUAACUAAAAAAACUCAAAUACAAAUUUAUAUUCAAUUUAAAUAUUAAAUACAAAGAUUCAAAUAUUUUGAUAAAAUUAAAAAAAACUUAAAUAAAAUAUGAUUUAAUCUCCAUACUUGUAUCACCAACUUUAACCUCUACCAAUCCUAAUAUAUCAGUAGCAUAUUCUUAUGUCAAAAAACAAGUAAGUAAAAAAAUUAAUGUUAAUUAGUAACAAAUAUACAUAAUCUUAUUAAAAUUAAAAAUUUAAUGAAUUAAAAAAAAUGUGUACCUAAACUUUUGAAAGAAGAAUUGGAUUUAAAUUUGCAUCUGCACAAAUUUUCUUUUUCUUGCUUGUCUUCUUUUUUUCUUUUCGGGGACAUGUAACAACAUUAUGUUCUUGACCUUUGCAUAAUCCACAAGCAUUCAUAUUAUGAGAUAACUCUUUUCC
rnacentral:lncRNA from 1 species